rnacentral:rRNA from 1 species
UACGGGGGGAGCAAGCGUUGUUCGGAUUUACUGGGCGUAAAGGGCGCGUAGGCGGCCAGCACAAGUCAGUUGUGAAAUCUCCGAGCUUAACUCGGAAAGGUCAACUGAUACUGUGCUGCUAGAGUGCGGAAGGGGCAACUGGAAUUCUUGGUGUAGCGGUGAAAUGCGUAGAUAUCAAGAGGAACACCUGCGGCGAAGGCGGGUUGCUGGGCCGACACUGACGCUGAGGCGCGAAAGCCAGGGGAGCGAACGGG